CCUACGGGCGGCUGCAGUGAGGAAUAUUGGUCAAUGGGCGCGAGCCUGAACCAGCCAAGUAGCGUGAAGGAUGACGGCCCUACGGGUUGUAAACUUCUUUUAUAAAGGAAUAAAGUGCGGCACGUGUGCCGUUUUGUAUGUACCUUAUGAAUAAGGAUCGGCUAACUCCGGGCCAGCAGCCGCGGUAAUACGGAGGAUCCGAGCGUUAACCGGAUUUAUUGGGCUUAAAGGGAGCGUAGGUGGGUUGUUAAGUCAGUUGUGAAAGUUUGCGGCUCAACCGUAAAAUUGCAAUUGAUACUGGCAGCCUUGAGUACAGUUGAGGUAGGCGGAAUUCGUGGUGUAGCGGUGAAAUGCUUAGAUAUCACGAAGAACUCCGAUUGCGAAGGCAGCUUACUAGACUGCAACUGACAUUGAUGCUCGAAAGUGUGGGUAUCAAACAGGAUUAGAUACCCGAGUAGUC
rnacentral:rRNA from 1 species